AUUGAACGCUGGCGGAAUGCUUUACACAUGCAAGUCGAACGAUGAACCUUAGCUUGCUAAGGGGAUUAGUGGCGAACGGGUGAGUAAUAUAUCGGAACGUGCCUUGUAAUGGGGGAUAACUAGUCGAAAGAUUAGCUAAUACCGCAUACGCCCUGAGGGGGAAAGUAGGGGAUCUUCGGACCUUACGUUAUAAGAGCGGCCGAUAUCUGAUUAGCUAGUUGGUGGGGUAAUGGCCUACCAAGGCGACGAUCAGUAGCUGGUCUGAGAGGACGACCAGCCACACUGGAACUGAGCCACGGUCCAGAGUCCUACGGGAGGCAGCAGUGGGGAAUGUUGGACAAUGGGCGCAAGCCUGAUCCAGCCAUUCCGCGUGAGUGAAGAAGGCCUUCGGGUUGUAAAGCUCUUUCGCAAGGGAAGAAAAGUUACCAUCGAAUAAAUGGUGAGGCUGACGGUACCUUGAUAAGAAGCACCGGCUAACUACGUG
rnacentral:rRNA from 1 species